rnacentral:lncRNA from 1 species
UAUUAAGAGCUUAAGGUACAGUACCAAUAUCUGCAUAAAACCCCAUAUUUCAUUUUGCCAAUGUAACGAUAUCAAUCUGUUGACAAAGUUAUGCUAAUACUAGGAGGUCGCUGUUGAUUAGGUUGUUUGCUUAAUACUGGGAGGUCUGUUCUUUCUGUUCCAUAGAUAAGUUUUUCCUCCUGGAGACUGCAAGCUGAGAACCUAUUUGCCUCUGUACCAGAUACACCUCCACGAUUAUUCGCAACUGUGACACCACUGACCUGUUCAAAGGAUUUACUAAACACAGUCGUGGUAGUUCUGGCCAAACUAUGGCUACCAGGUUUAGGCAGGGACUGGCUUGUUGUCAGUGUCAGCCUCUUCAGAGAGACAAGCUCUAGGUUCUCACUCAGGGCUCUCUGAGUUUGCUUUCGUGACAAGUGUUCUCUGCAGGUUUCUCCUUCUUUUUCUCUUCCUGCAGCUUUGCUUCCUCCAGAUCUUCGUUGGCUCUUCCCUAAAAGGUUCUUACUGCUCGUGUUGCUGCUGUUAGAUAAGGCAGACUGACUUGUGCUAGAAGCAGCCCUAGAGUAAAACCCUUCAUCAGUUUCAGAUACUUCUAUCAGUUCUUCUUCGAUUCCUAAAUCUGCAUUUCCUUAGAGUGCAGCUACAAGUGGUCUGCUAAAACUGCACUCUGCCAGAUGAGUUUAUUCCAUCCUCCAUCAUUUUUCUUACAGAUUUUUGCCUCCUGAUUUCUGGCAUGCAUUUGCUGUCAGUUCUAGGAUCUGUAGCUGUUUCCUGUACUCCCUGUAUAUGCUGAGCAUCAUUCUCUGCUAGUGCUCUGCUCUUUUCCCCAUUCCCGGUUUUCUCUCCAGACACAUUUGUGACACUAAUCUCAGGUAUGACAAAGUUGCCCAUUUCAGUAGCAUCAUUACCAUUCUCUGCUUGUUCAUGUCUUUUCCAUCUGUGCCCUCGGAU